rnacentral:rRNA from 1 species
AUUGAACGCUGGCGGCAUGCCUUACACAUGCAAGUCGAACGGCAGCGCGGGGGCAACCCUGGCGGCGAGUGGCGAACGGGUGAGUAAUAUAUCGGAACGUACCCAAGAGUGGGGGAUAACGUAGCGAAAGUUACGCUAAUACCGCAUACGAUCUAAGGAUGAAAGUGGGGGACCGCAAGGCCUCACGCUCCUGGAGCGGCCGAUAUCUGAUUAGCUAGUUGUGGGGUAAAGCCUACCAAGGCAUCGAUCAGUAGCUGGCCUGAGAGGACGACCAGCCACACUGGACUGAGACACGGCCCAGACUCCUACGGGAGGCAGCAGUGGGGAA